UACGUAGGGGGCAAGCGUUGUCCGGAUUUACUGGGCGUAAAGAGCGUGUAGGCGGCCAAGCAGGUCCGUUGUGAAAACUGGAGGCUUAACCUCCAGACGUCGACGGAAACCGCGUGGCUAGAGUCCGGAAGAGGAGAGUGGAAUUCCUGGUGUAGCGGUGAAAUGCGCAGAUAUCAGGAGGAACACCAAUAGCGAAGGCAGCUCGCUGGGACGUUACUGACACUGAGGCGCGAAAGCGUGGGGAGCGAACAGG
rnacentral:rRNA from 1 species